UAAUACGUAGGAGGCGAGCGUUAUCCGGAUUUACUGGGCGUAAAGAGGGUGUAGGCAGUUUUUCAAGUCGGAUGUAAAAUUUCCCGGGUCAACUGGGAGGGGUCAUCCGAUACUGUUAGACUAGAGGGCAGCAGGGGGAGGUGGAAUUCCCGGUGUAGUGGUGAAAUGCGUAGAUAUCGGGAGGAACACCAGUGGCGAAGGCGGCCUCCUGGGCUGUUACUGACGCUGAGGCCCAAAAGCGUGGGGAGCAAACAGGAUUAGAUACCCUGGUAGUCCACGCCGUAAACUAUGGACACUAGGUAUGGGGAGUAUCGACCCUUUCUGUGCCGAAGCUAACGCGUUAAGUGUCCCGCCUGGGGACUACGGUCGCAAGACUA
rnacentral:rRNA from 1 species